ACGUAGGAGGCGAGCGUUGUCCGGAAUUACUGGGCGUAAAGAGCACGUAGGUGGGAAUUUAAGUCAGGUGUGAAAGACCGGGGCUCAACCUCGGGGGGGCAGUUGAAACUGGGUUUCUUGAGGGCAGGAGAGGAAAGCAGAAUUCCUGGUGUAGCGGUGAAAUGCGUAGAAAUCAGGAGGAAUACCAGUGGCGAAGGCGGCUUUCUGGACUGCCCCUGACGCUGAGGUGCGAAAGCUUGGGUAGCAAACAG
rnacentral:rRNA from 1 species